UGCAGGGGUCCCCACAAGUAUUGAAUACCAUAAACUUAUUCUUGAUAUUGAGGACUUCAAAAAUGGGAAUGUAGAUACUGCUUUCAUUCCCAAGCAUGAACAAGAGUUGGCAGAGGUAUGACUUUCAAACAAGAGUUGUUCCAGUGUUGCUGUUCUGGAGCAUGCUAAAACACGGAAGUAAUUGAGCUCCUGCUGACGCUAUUAGAAAUGCGUUCAAAUUGGAGUUUAAUGAUGAAUGUAAUGUGAGUUUUCAGUAGUACUUCUUUAUUUGGCCUCUAUGUAUCUUAAUAUUUUCUUACUUUGAAUCUGUGGGAUCCCAGCAAAAUAUGAAGUUUCAGGGUUGUCUUUGCAAUUGAUUAUUACUAUUAAAUUGAAGAACAAAAAAAAAAAUGAUGAUCCAUGAUUUUGAGUGGAAGAUAACUUGAUUGGGGUACUAGGGAAUUAAGUAGAGGUGAGGCCUUGACUGAGUGUGAACGUCAAAAUCUCAAGAAGUAGCAGGUCAGAAUUUUUUAUCAAGAUUUAUGCUCCAAUCAGAGGUAAAAUUUUCAUCUUUUAAGUACAUGCGUCUGCUUAUGCUUUUCACACUUUCUGGACUAUACUUUUCUUUUUUCCUCAAAGUUCGAAUAUAUACAUAUUAGUGCAGAUACAAUCUGUUGUAAGACUUCGACAAACCGUGCUUUAUAAGUAUUUAGGGUCUUAGGGAUACUUACAAUGAAGGUAUUGAACAAUCUCCAGUAGGUUGCCUUGAGUCUUAUGGGUUUUAGAGUAAUAUUUAAUAAAUAUGUUGCUUGGAUGUUCUGAAAAACUAAUAAAUAAAGUAGUUAUUGGUAUGAUUUUUCAAAAUUAUUAAUUUCACUACUAAAAUUUCUAAAAUCAAAAACCUAAUGAUUAUGUAUAUAUGAUGAAUAUUUCAUGUCAUUUGGAGUUCAGUUCAACAACGAUCCAGUAUUAAUCUCGGAACAUAACCAAGCAUACUCUACCCUGGUAUCUACAAGAGCGUCCAUGAAUAUGGCAGUCGAUAUUGCAGGGGUGGAGUAUUUGGAGUAUACCAAGGGGUAAGUAACCAUGAGGAAUUGCACAAUUUAAUGAAAGCAACACUCAUGAAACACAGACUUAAGAAGGAUGUUCUUUCUGAGCCACCUGUAAAACGCAGGCCGCAAGUAAUUCGCUGCACCACAUUGUUGUUCAUGCUUUCUAGUGUUCAUCUCUUUCUAUGUUUUAAUAUCUUGACUCUUCAUAACCAUCUUUUAAAUUAGUUCUCUGAAAAAAAGUUCUUUUUUAUGCGAAAGAUAUGCUCUUACUUUCCCCAGGCUUGAUAUUAGCCAAAGUUCAAUGUGGAUGACCUUAUUUUAUGGGAGAGAUCGUAAUGUGUUAACUCUAUGGUUUCUGAUUGCUGGAUGAUUUUAGAAAUUGUAAGUGUCAGGAUGUAUGGAGUUAGUUGAGAAAUUUUCGGAGUAGUUUUACAUGUUGACAACUCAAUAUGUUCCUAGUUAUGAUGCAAUUAUAUAUGUCAGCCUAUAUACUUCUAUAUUUUAUUAAA